rnacentral:lncRNA from 1 species
UUCCCCAUCCGCGCAGGCCCAAUCAACGGAGUGACGCGAGCGCGAGCACCCUCUCUCUCUCUCUCCCCCCUUCCGCGUCGCGUGCCCUCGCCGCAGCCCUCUCCCAUGGCGGACCAGCUCACCGACGAGCAGAUCGCGGAGUUCAAGGAGGCGUUCAGCCUCUUCGACAAGGACGGCGACGGUACCCGCCUCCCCCCCUCACCCGCCUCUAUCCGCCCCCGUUAGGUUCCCCGAUCUCUCGCGGCCGGAUCGGGAUCGCGCUUCCGGCCCCGCCCGAUCCGGCCCGAAUUAUAGGGAUUCUGUCGGAGCCGUCGGGGGCACGGCUCCAGAUCCAGACCGCCGCGUGAUGUGGUGCCUAGGGUUAGGUGAUCUGUGAGGUAAUUCGCCGGUAACCGGUAUGCUGGCGUUUUGGGCGUGCGGGUGCGCGCAGCGAUUUGAGCCGUCUAGUGAUGUGCUCAUUUGCAACUAUCAGCUGUUUGUUAUGUAGGAUUUUGCUCACGGGGCGGGAGAACAGCGAAAAUUAUGGGUUUCGAUGCGUGAUCUGUUAUGAUUUUGCGGUGCUAUCCAAGGUAGAACUAUUUGGAAAUCGUUAAUUGCUUACUUUUGUAGAUAGAGUUGGAAUUCUAGUGUCUAGUGGAACAUUCAUGAAGAAUGGACAGUCAGCUUAGCAUGGUCCGAGCAUCAAACUUUGGGAGCCAGGUUAUUACCUUGGUGUGAACAUAUGGUUGCAUGAUCUACACAUCAAGUAUCGGAGAUAUCUUAGGGAAUGGGUUUUAGUUGGAUUUAGAUCACUGAGAUUGUUUGUGAAGAAAGGGUGUUGGUUUUGAGCUAGGCAAAUGAAGGUGUGAAUCUGUUAUAAUGUGGUAGUCUGAUGUUAAGCAGUAGUCAUUUUAGCUUAGAGAAAAAGUGUCAGGCAGGUUUUUUUACUUUGAUUUAAUACAGUGUCUAGCAGUGUGUUUGUCCUACCUGUUUACGAGCCUACAGAUAGCAGGGCACUCUUUAUCAGUCACUAAGGUGUGUUAACACAUUUUUUAAAUGUCCUCUGUUGAAUAGAUAUUUGACUUUCAUGCUGGAUUUGCUUUAAAUUACACAAGUUGAGAGCUGUCAAGCAUGGUUCUUUAUUAAAGUGGCAGGAAACUGAUCAAUUGACUGCUAGGCACUAAAAUUUGCAUAUGUGUUCACAUUACCUUUUCCAACUAUAACGUGGAUCAUGGUCUGCAAUAUUCUUUCCUCAAGUAUUUACAAUAUUAUGCGAGAUAAAUCCAUAAAUUGGCUGUUCGUAUUUGAGAUAUGAUGACCAACAUCAUUCACUGAAAGCAACUGGCAUUUUACUAUUUCCUAUCAUGUUACUUGUUUGACAUUACUUUUAUCCUUCUAAGGUGAUGCAAUACUUUGCUUGUUUAGGUGGCUUUUCUUUCAAGCAAUGUUUUUUUUUACCAAUUUUUCCUGCUACAAUAAGUUUAUUGUAAUUCGAUUGGUGUAUGGAAGUCAUUGGCAUGCUGACACACCUCAGGCUGCUGAAAGUGAUCAUGGCAUUAUGAUGUGCUUUGUAUUAUUGUCACAAUAAUGUGAACUAAAAAUAGCCUUAACAGUUAUGUAGUAUUUGGUCUUUAAAUCUAACCGGCUAUGUUUAUGGACUUUUACAACUUUAUAAAUCCUUAUUAAUGAGAACAUUGCAUGUUUUUGAGUACUAAUCAUAAGUUUGGUUUCUUUUUCCCCUGGCAGGUUGCAUCACUACCAAGGAGCUGGGAACUGUGAUGCGCUCCCUUGGCCAGAACCCUACUGAAGCAGAGCUGCAGGACAUGAUCAACGAGGUUGAUGCUGAUGGCAACGGGACCAUCGACUUCCCGGAGUUCCUAAACCUGAUGGCAAGGAAGAUGAAGGACACUGAUUCCGAGGAGGAGCUCAAGGAGGCCUUCCGCGUCUUCGACAAGGACCAGAACGGUUUCAUCUCGGCUGCUGAGCUCCGCCACGUCAUGACCAACCUUGGUGAGAAGCUGACCGAUGAGGAAGUCGAUGAGAUGAUCCGCGAGGCUGACGUGGAUGGCGACGGCCAGAUCAACUACGAGGAGUUCGUCAAGGUCAUGAUGGCCAAGUGAGGAGCGGUCCCCAUGAAAUAAGUCUGUCCAAAUUGAACUGUUAUCAGGAUCACAAGCUGUAGUUUGUCAUGUCCCUUUGAGUACGUAUCAGUAUCAUGCAGGUG